rnacentral:rRNA from 1 species
UACGUAGGGUGCGAGCGUUAAUCGGAAUUACUGGGCGUAAAGCGUGCGCAGGCGGUCUGUUAAGACCGAUGUGAAAUCCCCGGGCUUAACCUGGGAACUGCAUUGGUGACUGGCAGGCUUUGAGUGUGGCAGAGGGGGGUAGAAUUCCACGUGUAGCAGUGAAAUGCGUAGAGAUGUGGAGGAAUACCGAUGGCGAAGGCAGCCCCCUGGGCCAACACUGACGCUCAUGCACGAAAGCGUGGGUAGCAAACAGG